rnacentral:rRNA from 1 species
CUACGUGCCAGCAGCCGCGGUAAUACGGAGGGUGCAAGCGUUAAUCGGAAUUACUGGGCGUAAAGCGCACGCAGGCGGUCUGUCAAGUCGGAUGUGAAAUCCCCGGGCUCAACCUGGGAACUGCAUUCGAAACUGGCAGGCUAGAGUCUUGUAGAGGGGGGUAGAAUUCCAGGUGUAGCGGUGAAAUGCGUAGAGAUCUGGAGGAAUACCGAUGGCGAAGGCAGCCUCCUGGGAUAACACUGACGUUCAUGCUCGAAAGCGUGGGUAGCAAACAGGAUUAGAUACCCUGGUAGUCCACGCCCUAAACGAUGUCAAUUAGCUGUUGGGCAACUUGAUUGCUUAGUAGCGUAGCUAACGCGUGAAAUUGACCGCCUGGGGAGUACGGUCGCAAGAUUAAAACUCAAAGGAAUUGACGGGGACCCGCACAAGCGGUGGAUGAUGUGGAUUAAUUCGAUGCAACGCGAAGAACCUUACCUGGUCUUGACAU